CCAUCCCCGGGAGGCAGCAGUCGGGAAUAUUGCACAAUGGAGGAAACUCUGAUGCAGUGACGCCGCGUGCAGGAAGAAGGUUUUCGGAUUGUAAACUGCUUUAGACAGGGAAGAAAAAAGACAGUACCUGUAGAAUAAGCUCCGGCUAACUACGUGCCAGCAGCCGCGGUAAUACGUAGGGAGCAAGCGUUAUCCGGAUUUAUUGGGUGUAAAGGGUGCGUAGACGGGCAAACAAGUUAGUUGUGAAAUCCCUCGGCUUAACUGAGGAACUGCAACUAAAACUAUUUGUCUUGAGUGCGGGAGAG
rnacentral:rRNA from 1 species